rnacentral:lncRNA from 1 species
UUUUUUUUUUUUUUUUUUAAGGUAGCUUUAUGGGGUACUCUUUCUGACUUGUCCAUGUAAUGGGGGUCCAUCGAUGACUCCCAACCAAUUAAGGUUUAGGGCACCAAGUUUUAAGGAUCUUUCAACCACUAACUCCUCGGAUUUUUCCCCGGACUUUUAAGAAUGAAUUUCUAAUACCCAAGCAUCUACCAUAUGCUAACUCUACCUAUUCACCCUUGUAACGAGCAUUGAGGUCGGUGACUCCCAACCAAUUAAGGCUUAGGGCACCAGGCUUUAAAGAUUUUCACCAUAUACCCCUCAGACCUUGCUCGGGUUUCAAGGCAAGCAAACAAAUUUCUUUAUUUCAAAGGCUCAUUGGCCUUUUGCAGGGUGUUUCAAUUUUUAUCAAAUGAGGUCAAAUAUACCAAGUCCCAAAAAUAUACUAAGUCAAGAGGGAAAUAGCUUUUCAUCUUAUAAUCGGAAACUAAUGUGCACAGUGUGUGGAUAGCUUAAAGUGGAAGAACUCAAUUCAAUUACAGUAGAAGUUUCAACAAUUGAACUACUUUAGUAAGCAUAAUCCAUACUCUAAGUCAAGUGAAAAACAACAGUUCAAUUUCUCUUGGUUUAAUUUUGAAAAUUUUCCUCAAAAUUCAUGGAGAAUAGAGUAACAAGAGUAAAAAGUAAAAUCUACAACUAAUUAACCAAUAAUUGCAAUACCAAAAAGAUUUAGCAUACUUCCUUCCUCAUACCCCCCAACCGAACUGAGCAUUGUCCUCAAUGUGAUUUGAGUGACUGUAAUAAAAGGGAGGAAGUGGUACCUCCAUGCUGAUAUCAAAUUCGAAUAUUGAUUGGGGAAAACCACAUGUUUCAAAAAGAAUAGAAUAUGUGAGAAAAGGAAAUAAGGAGAAUUUAAUGCUAACUUUUAACAAGAAAUAUUCAACUUGUAUUACUUUGAGUUCAUUUGAUUACGAUGCUAAAGACAAGUAACACAAGGAAUCCCAUAUAUAGUACCAAAAUACUGGGAUUUCUUUUCAACUAAAACAAAACAAACAUGCAUAAAAACAUAAACAGCAAAUAUAUAUAUAAUGUCUGAUGAGUGGGGUGAUGGUGCUAGGCAGAAGGAUCUGCCUCUUCAGUAGGUGGAUCAGCUGGGGUUUCAGGCUCUGGAGCUUGAGACUCUGAAGGCUGAGAGUGUGGCUCUGGUGGAGUAGGAAUGGAGGGCUCUACAGCUUGUGGCAGAUCGAAAUGGACUUGAAGCUGCCUUAGGAUGGCAACUUGUUGAGCCUGAGAGGCUAACAUCUGCUCCUGGCAUGCUUUGAUGGCUGCCAACUCCUGAGCAAGAUUGCUCUGGGAAGCUGUAAGAGUCUCCAAUGCUCGGCACAGCUCUCGAUAUUCGGAUAUAGGGAUGGCCAUCCUAGGCUCAGCAGAUGUGGAUGGCUGUGAUGGAGCAGGUGCAGCUGGUGGAGCUCGAGGGAUGGCAGGAGUAGCAAGUGUUAUACCUUCAGGUGGAUGUCUUGGGGAGGCUCUCCUUGCUGCUGGCUGAGGCUGCCCAGGCUGAUCAAUUUUGUAGGCCGUCAUAUUAUUCCAUUUAUCAAGGGUAAAUGGCUCACGGCAUAUUCUCUUUCUUUCCUGCUGAGGCUCAGAGGGGUAUCCGAGAUGCUCCAAAACUUGGCAUAACAGCCUUGGGAAGAGGAGUGGAAUGCAAUCUGCUCUUUGAAGCUUCUUCUUGUGAACCUUCUCCUCAAAGUAGAGAAGGGCUGCCAUGAUCAGAUGAUGAGGCCCAAAGAAGAAUCCUUCAGACAUCUUGUACAGGGCUUCUAGGAGAAUUCCCCUUCUUUGGGUCCAAUGCUGCAGGGGAUAGAUAUUAUGCCUCAAAAAGGCAUCAAUCAAAAACAUCACUGGAGGUAGCUCCCCCCUCAGCAGGUGUGACCGAUUUGCAGCUCCUCUAGUUAGGGUGCUAACCAUCUCUAACUCAGUAGGAUUUGUCCAAGCUUUAAAAUUGUCGAAUUGAGUUGGCUCAAAAGGAAUUUGCAGGGCUUCAGCAAUAUGUCUUGCUCCCAAAAUACCAUGCCUUCCAUCAAUUAUGAAAUGGAUCAGAGUUGGAUUUCUUACUUCUUUGGUUGUCAUGGUCUGGUAGAAGUCCGUGACUACCCGAGGAUAGAAAAAAUCCCUUGGAGCUAGCAGAUGCUCCAUAUGAUAUCUCCUCAGCAGCUGGAAUGAUUGGGCAAGCUCUGGCCUCACUCUAAAUGCUGCUAAGUCGAAGCAAAGCUCAGAAUGGAAUGCCCGAGUUCGGCAAUCCAAGUUUCCUUCGAUUGGGGCCUGGGGCAGCAUUGGCCUUCGGAUCACUUCUUCCAGAGGUGCUUCAGCUGCAAUUUGGGGCUCUGGAAUUGGCGCUUGAGGCUCCUGAGCUUUUUCUUGGGGUGCCGGAGAUUGUACCGGCGAUGGAAUUGGAGUUGCUUCUGGUGAGGGAAUUGGCGAGGCUACCGGUGACGACACUGGAAUUUGUACCGGUGAAGGAUUUGGAGAUUUCUCAGGGGAUUGCUCAGUCAAAUCGAUUGGUUCAGAGCUCUCAACCCUGGCUUUCUUCUUCAAUGGCUGACCACCUGACCUGGUUAAAUAUCGCCUUGCCGGCGGCUUUGGUAGCGCCGGCUUCACUGGAGGAGGGUUUGGUCUCGACGGCGAAGGCUUUGGAGCAGGUUCUGGAACAGAACCUGGACUUGGCUCCUUUCGCAGACUCCUUUUGCGGUUCGAAGGGGAUGACGACUUUGCCCCUCGCGUUCGUGCCAUUUUGGAAUACCGAAACUUUGGCCGGCGCUGCUGAACGGAGAAGACGACCGGAGACACGGACGGCGCGGCUUGGCGAAGAAGAUGAAGGGGCUGCGAGAAUGGUGCUCUGAUUUUUGAAACCCUUUUCGCAGCACUUUUGGCCGGUAUAAAUAGGAAAAAACGGAAGCCCAGGGGUCAGUUUACGUUUCGCAACAAAACGCCAAUUUCGCAGCAACUUGCCAUUUUCGCAGCAACUUCGCAGUGAGUUUCGCAGUUGCGAAAUUGAUGUCACUGUGUUGCGGAGUGGCACUCGUGUGCCAAAACCACUUUCGCAAUUGUGAAAUGCCCUGCGGAAUGGGACUUUUGGUGCGAAAUCACGCUUUUCCAUUUCGCAAUGAGUUUCGCAGCUGCGAAAUGGGUACUACUGUACUGCGAAGUGGCACUCGUGUGCCAAAUUCACUUUCGCAGCUGCGAAAUACCUUCGCAGAGGCUUCUACAGUGCUGCGGAAUGGGUUGGCAACAAAACGCCAAUUUCGCAGAGGUUUCCUUCACCCUGCGAAAUUUCGCAGAGCUCUGUUUUUCCCCUGUUUUUGCUCUGUUUCGGCUCCAAUUUCGACCCGAUUUUUUUUCUUUUCAAUCCCCUUGAAAUUUCUUCCGCCUGGGAUCAUAUAAAACGAUUAAAACACACCUAAAAACAUGAUUUAAGAUCAAAAACUAAGAUUAAAAGCAUAGAAACAACUUGAAAAUUUACAAAAUUUACAAAAAUUUUGGACUGUGGUUAAACCACGUCCAGCAAACCCAUUUCACUUAGGCUUUUUGAGGCUCAAGGAGGUUGAUUGCCCCCUUUUCUGAUUUGAAUGACUCCAUGAACGGCUUAAGACGAUAUCCAUUGACUCUAAAGCUGUCCUUGCCAUUGGAAUUCAAUAAGUCCACCACUCCAUUGGAAUAUACUCGGUGAAUAACAAAUGGACCAAUCCACAUUGACUUAAGCUUCCCAGGAAAGAUAUGGAGUCUUGUGUCAUACAUCAGAACUUUUUGCCCUUCCUGAUUCAGUUUGCCCGGAUCCCAUUUGAAGCUUGCAUCCUUCACUUGAGACUUGGUUUGAGAUGAAGAUAUUACGACAGGACAUUGAUUAUUUUCUUCAAGGUAUGUGUAUUUCAGCUCCAUAGGUAAAUGCUUCAGAUUGAGUUUUGGAAUUUCUUUUUCAACAGCUGCCUCCUCUUCUUCAUUGAACAGAGGUAGAAUUCCUUCUAUCUUUCUCCAACUGUGUAGAGUAGCAAGCCCAAUAGGAGAUUCAGAAAAACCUUCCUCAAUAUCCUCAAGACUUUCAUUCAACUUAUCUUGCAUAUGUUGAUUGCAGUGCUCCUCCACCAAAGUAUCAAUAAUACAUAGCUCUUCUGGACCCUCUUCUUCUUCUGUAGUGAUUUGCUUUUUAGACAUAUAGAAAAUAUUUAGAUCCAGUGUCAUAUUACCAAAAGUGAGUUGCAUAAGCCCAUUUCUACAGUUGAUGAUUGCAUUUGAAGUAGCAAGAAAUGGCCUUCCAAGGAUGAUAGGAACUAAAUUAGCUUCCUUUACAGUAGGAUCAGUAUCAAGAACAACAAAAUCUACAGGAUAGUAGAAAUUAUCUACUUGAACCAAUACAUCCUCAAUUACUCCUCUUGGAAUUUUCACUGAUCUAUCUGCCAAAGAUAAAGUGAUUGAUGUUGGCUUCAACUCUCCAAGUCCCAGUUGCUUGUAGACAGAGUAUGGAAGCAAAUUCACACUUGCUCCCAAGUCUAGCAAGGCUUUCUCCACUACCUUUCCUCCAAUCAUGACUGAAAUGGUAGGACUUCCAGGGUCUUUGUACUUCAAAGGAGACUUACACUGUAAGAUUGCACUUACUUGCUCAGUCAAGAAGGCUUUCUUGUUUACAGUCAACCCUCUCUUGAUAGUACACAAGUCCUUUAGGAAUUUUGCAUACGUUGGAACUUGUUUGAUCAUAUCCAGCAGUGGAAUAUUAACUUUCACUUGUCUCAAUACUUCUAGGAUUUCAGCUGCAUUUCUAACCCCCUUUUUCCCCUGUAAUGCUUGAGGAAAAGGUGGAAAAGUUGAUUUCUUCAGCAUUUCUUCCUUCAGAAGCUCCUUCUCUGGAAUUACUUUCAUUGUUGCAUCAGAGUCCUUCUUUUCUUCACUGAUCUCACUGCCUUUAUCUUCCAUUUCCUUCCCUUUCUUUAUCUCUUCUUCUUUCUCAACAUGUGGCUUGGGUGUUGGCUGCUCAAUUUUCUUACCACUCCUUAGAGUGAUCAAAGCUUUCACAUCUUUCACCUGUGAUGAUUCUCCCUCAAGGCUUUCCACUUCAUGGACACCUUUGGGAUUUUGGUUAGGUUGAGAAGGAAAUCUUCCCUUUUCUUGCAGUGUAUUCAAAUUUGUAAGCCUUGAAAUUGAAUAUUGGAUGUUAUCAAACUUUUGAUUCAUAUCAUUUUGCAUUCCAUCCAUUCUUUUGUUCAACAUACUCUCCAUUCUGUCCAUUCUUUGAUCCACUCUGUCCAUUCUUUGAUCCACUCGAGCAUUGGUGGCUUCUUGCUUUCCCACAAAAUCUCCCACUACCUUGCUGAGAUUAGCUAUUAUUUGUUCAAUACUUGAAGAUUGCUGAGUUGGUGGAUCCGGCUGUUGGUAUUGAGUUGCUCUGGCCUUCCAUGAGAAAUUUGGAUGAUUCCUCCAACUUGAAUUGUAAGUAUUUCCAUAAGGAGCAUUGUUAUUGGGCCUGAAUUGUCCAACAACAUUUGCUUGAUCUCUAUACAUUUCCCUUUCAACUGAAAUUGCAGGGCAUUCCUCUACCAAAUGUUCAAACGAUUGACAAUUGGGACACAACUUCACUUGCACUGGUGCUUCAGCAACAGCUUGCACUUCAUGCAUUCUUUUCAGCUCCAGCUCCUCCAAUCUUCUUGUCAUAGCUGCCAACUUUGCUUUCAUGUCAUCAUCUUCUUUUAAAUUAUACAUCCCAGCCUUUGCAUUGUAAGCAUUCAACUGAGACUUCAUCNNNNNNNNNNNNNNNNNNNNNNNNNNNNNNNNNNNNNNNNNNNNNNNNNNNNNNNNNNNNNNNNNNNNNNNNNNNNNNNNNNNNNNNNNNNNNNNNNNNNCUCUGGAAUGUAUUACAAACAUCUUCAAAUUCCUUGAUGUGUGCAUACGGAUUCUCACUUUCCAUCCCAUGGAAAGUUGGUAGAAGUGGAACAAGAUAUGGUCUGAUCACUAGCUGCUCUGUAGGGGGCACUAUACAUGAUGGUGCACUCAUACGAGGUGGAUGCAUACGGUCCCUCAUUGAUCUGAAUUCAUUGAGAUUGUCUUGACGACCUUGGUGACUAUGCUGAUCUUCAGGUGCAGCCUCCAUGAUAUUCAAGAUUACUUCCAAUUCUCCUCUCUGAGGUGUAUCACACUUAACAAGCCUACCUCCAAUGUCUCGUAUCCACUUGGGCAUACACAACUAGUAUUCAGCUGCAACUAAAAAAAUGAAAACAGAGGACACAAAAACAGAGGACUACAAUAGCAAAAUUAAACUAGACUAAAAUUUAAAAAGAUAAACUUAGAUUAUAAAUAAACAAAGAAAGAAUGAAAAUUAAUAAAGUGAAAGAAACUUUACCAACUUGUGAUGAAAAUCACAAGUGCUCAAAAAUGGUAUCACAAUGAACUUGACACUCAUUCCCCGGCAACGGCGCCAUUUGACUCAUGCUCAAUUGGUGUCUCAGCUGAUUUGUGUUCAGCUGGUGCUCCUUGAUUGAGGAAGUGAUCAACAAAAUUUAUACCUAUAACACCAUACACUAGGGUAGCAAAUACAAAGCUACUAUAGUAUAGUGGCUCUAAGGAUCGUUCACUGGGAAUGAAUAAAUUAACAAGCAGUCAAGGAUACCAAUUCCAAGUGAAUUGGUUUUGUUUCAUUUCACGGUUAGUUUAAGAAAUAAAACACAAAGUUUGAUUGGUAAAGGUUUAGACUUAAACUACCUAACUUAACAGAAGUUUGGAAUAAUUUAGGAAGAAAAACAUUCCUUGGAGAUUUAGGUUCACUGGGGUGGUUCCUCAUGCAAAAGACAUAGCUCCGGUCAGAUGGUUCAUUUCCUCGCAUUAGAGAUUCAACUUAUAGUCAAUUCUCUAACCGGUGAUGUACAGAGACUCCUUCAAUUAGAUUUCACUUUAAUUCUCUCACUGAUACAACUUGCAAUGGUUCAUGCCUCUCACGAGCACUUACCAUUCAAGGUGAUCUUUAACCUUGGACUUCCCUUCACAAACUCGCAAGAGAUAACUAAUGGAUGUCUCCUAGGAGUCCAAAAGCUUACCAAGUGUUGGUAAUUCCAGAAAAUCCUACCUUGAAGUCACCUACCAGAGGCUCGCAAGGGGUAAACUAGUGCAUUUCCAUGGUUGGAAAUCACUUGCCUUACCAAGUGUUGGCCCAGGUGACUCUAAGGUGUUUUAAGUUAACUAAAAACAUUGAAAUCACUAAAGGAUUUCACUUCCUCUUCAUUAAAAACUAAAACCACAAAGCUUUGCAUUUUUGCACUUGGAACCUUCCCCGGCACCCUUAGCUCCAAGGAAUUGGAGGUUUAGUUACUCAUUCUCUGGGGAAAACUCCUCAGAGAAUUCAUAACUUAGAAAUAAAAUGAAAAUACAAAGUGAGAAGGUAAGGCAGUAGAAAGAAAAGACUUUACUUGCUUACCAAAUGGUUUUCAGAAGGAACUCCUCUCUGAGAACAUGCUCCCGAGAGGUAUUUAUAUCAAAGCAAUAUAAAACUAAUUAUUACAUAGAUAUUUGGUCUUUUUACUAACUUAAAAACUAAGGAAUCAUGUAAUUGGUGGUUUACAAGGAGUAUUUUGGAAUUUAGACAACAAAAAUCUAAUGGAAAAUAUCUCCCAAUGUCGGUAGCAAGCUUCGGGAGGCUUCCGGAGCCAUUUCGCAGGAGAAAAGUGAGGUCUGCGAAAUUUCGCAGACACCCAAGAGGGCUGCGAAAUUAUUUCGCAAGACCGAGCUAUCUUCACCAGGCUGCAAAGUUGGCUUCCAUCUUGAAGUUUCCAGCUCCCUUCUCGCGGCAUGGUUCGUGCAUCGUCAGAAGGAGAAACACCUUACUGUACAAAAGUGUUGCGAAAUUCUCGCAACAAAAGGCUGAUUCCGCAACACUUUAGAGUGACUGGCUUGUAAUGGCUGCAACUUCUUCGUUUCAACUCCGAAUCAUGCACCGUUUGAAGCAUUGGAUUGUUGACUUCCUGAGCUUUGAAAUGGUAUAUAGCUUGCAUCAUUUGGACUUCAGAAAGUGCUCCAAAAGUGGCUGCUACGACUGUCAUCAAGAAUAUGCUCCAUGACUGAUCCUCUUUGCUUUUUCUCCUUGCAAUCCGGAUUCACUCUUGGCAAUUGAAUUCUAAGCUUUGCCCAAGAUUCCUCAUAGCUCUCCUCAUUCUUGACUUGCUUUGGUGAUCAAAAUACUAACAAGAACACCAAAACUUACACAAAGUGAUCAAAAUUGCUUUAAAGGAUCCUUAACAUGUCAAUUGAGUUAAAAGGCCUAAACUACUACUCAAAAGUGUUAAAAAGGAUUAAUUAAAGGCUAUCAAAUAGCACUUUUUGAGUAGUAAUCAUAUGCCAAGCCCUCCCUUGGCCUGCACUCCUUAUAACAUGCCUCACCAACUUGUUGUAGCAUCUCUAGGCAACCUACUGCAUGUUGUCUAUGCAACCCAUGUGUGUGUCAAGCCCUCUCUUAAUUAGCCUACACCCCUUAGAACAUGUCUUACCAUCCUGAUGUAGUGUCCUUAAGCAACCUAGUGCAUGCUCUCUAUGCAGCCUUUGAGUGUGUCAAGCUCACUCGUGGCCUACACACCUCACAACAUGCCCUAUCAACUUACUAUGUGCAUUUCUAGGCCCUUGUUACUCCUUGAGCAUGCCAACCAGUCAUACUCAUGUGUUCCAAUCACAUCUCUGCCAAGGCAAGCUACUCAUGCAUCCCUCUUAUUGUUGAUAUGACUCCAUGUUUUGCCCAAACCCUCUUCUUAGUGCAACAACAAGUCAUAACAUUGCACCCAUGACUUUUCAUCUUUGCACAUAAGGCAUUGUGCCAAGCAUUAAAUGUCAUGUUUAAGUCAGCAUCAUUGAUGCCACAUCGCCAUGCCUCACCCAAGUUCAUUUUGGUGUUACAACAAACCAUGACAUUAUGUACAUGGCUCAUCAAGCUACCUCAUUGCGCAAGGCAUUACAUCCUUAUGCUACCAUUAGAAAUGAAGACUAUGUCGCACCUCGUGUCAUUGUGGCCAUGGGUUACACACCACCAUGUGUCAUGAAGCCCAUGCAUGGGUGCUACAAGACUUAUCCCAUGUGUCUUGCUCAUGUAAGCACCUAGGUGUGCCCAUGUCACCUUGUCUUUCUUGAGUUAGGUUCUUCUUCAAAGAAAAAAUACCGACAUGCCAAAAUUCAACCCUUGAAUUUUGGCCAAGUUAGGCUCAUGUCGCUUGUUUCCCUCAAUAGGCUUCAUCUUACCUUACCUUGAUCAUAGGCCACUCAUAGAGCCAAGGUGUCGUCCUAUGAGGCCUUUGUGUCGCAUACUUUGAGUCAAAGGGCUAACAAUAGACCACUAAAAGAUUUGAAAUUUUCAACAUAAACUUAAUGAGCUACCACACAUUGUAACUAUGCCUUGUGUUUCUUUUAAACUAACAUUUAGCAUAUCAUGGUCUUGAUACAAAAAUCCCUCGUCAUUAAGUUAAGAGUUGGUAACAAUGAGGUUCAACAAGGCCUAAUUGAUCUUGUUAGUUUAAUUGACCUGUUUUAGAAGUCAGCAUAAUGUCACAAAAUGCUUCAAAUGAUCCUCCCCAUGGGCUUAUAUAUCGGAGCAGGAAGUUUUUAAGACCCCUGGAGACAUCCACACUUAACUACAAGGUGGAAGAGUGUGGAAGCUUCUAGAGAAGGUUAGAGAUGUCCACACAUCUCCACACUUGGGUAGGAGACCAUUGGAAUAAUACGGGGUGUUCUAAAGUCUUCCAAAGUCAUCUUGUACAUAAAUUAAUGUAGGAGCUUCUAGAUUAUUCUUGAUUUGUAAGGAACUCAACAAGGUUCUAAAGACUUCCUAAGGUGCCUAUAAAUAGGUGAGACCCUCAUUUGGCCAAGGCACCAAGUAAACGAGUUUCCUAAGCACUUAUAAAGCAUCCUUAAGAGCAAUAAAAGCUUCCAUUUUUUUAAGUGUUUUCUACUAUACCUUCUAAAGCUUCCAAGUCGUGUAGAUCUUAACCUAACAAGUUAAGCGUCGGGAGUAAGAUUGACUUAAUAAGAUCAAGUGUCUUGGCUUGUCUUAGUAUCACACGAGCUUAGGGAAAUACUGGGUCCAUAACAAUAAUUACAUGUGAAUAUCAUAGAGGGAAAGGUAACAAUACCCAAUCUAUACCCAUUGGUAGGCUUCAAUGGGAUACCCUGCAAACCAUUAGGUGAAGUCACAUUUCUCGUAAAAUGAGGACCCGUUAUCUUGCACACACGAUUUUCGAUCAUGAAAACAUCAUAAUAGGAAGGUGUUAGAAAAAUUAGGCUAUUAAUCAAAUCUAUGGUAAUCGCCUUAAAGAGAGGGGGGGAGGGGGGUGAAUAAGAUGAUGGUCUCUUUUUGUAAAUUUAAAUUAUGUGAAUGCAAAAGAUAAUUAUAUGCAAAUAUAUAAUAAAACAAUAUAAAAAUAAUUGCAUAUAAAUUAAAAUAAUAGGGAAGAGAGAAUACAAACACAAGAUUUUUAUAGUGGUUUGGCGCAACUCGGCCUAUGUCCACUCUCCUCUAACUUCAAUCCCAAGCUUAAGGCUCCAAUAUUUCAAGGCUUCCAAACCAAACCUUCAAACAAUACAAUUGGAUUAUGGUUCUAGUCCACCAUCUUGGACUUUUGACUUCAAGCACCCUUUACAAUCCUCAAGAGAUACCCACUCUUGAACAACCUCUCAAAAGAUACCCCACACUUGAGAAUUCUAAAUUGAUACCUCACACUUAGAUUCUUCCUCUCAAAGAUAUACAAAUAAUUUCACAAAAUCCUACUACAAAACUUUAGGCUCAAAUGAUGUAAAAAAACUAGGAUUGAAUGAUGCACUAAAGAUAUGCAAGUUUUAGAACAAUUGUGCACUAAAAAACACUCUCCCAAGACUCAAAUAUAUUCAAGAAAGAUUUAGGAAGGUUAAGCUCAUGAAACAAUAAAGAUUGGAGUUUUUUUAUAGAAGAAAACAACCAAACUAGCCGUUGGGGGUUUGACCGAUCGAGUUGGGGGUUGACCGAUUGACUAGCCGUUAGCAUUUAAUGUUUGGCAGGUGACUGUUGGACCUCAACCGCCUCUUGACUGGACCUCAAUCGGUUGAGGCUCAACCUCAAUCGAUUCAGGUUCAACGUUGAUCGAUUGAGGUUUAACUUUGACCAAUUGAACAAUUGUUCUAGAAGAGAGAGAAGGUUUUUUGUACCUCUCGACCAAUUCAGCUGGGGGUCGACCUAUUCCUAGACCGGUUGAGUUAGGGGUCGACCUAUUCCUCGACUGGUUGAGUUAGAGGUCGACUUAUUCCUUGACCGGUUCAAUCGGUUGAGCCAUUUUUGGCUCAACAACCAUUCUCUUCAACUUAAAACCUUUUAAACAAGUUUGGAAAACAUUUGACACAAGGUUUUAGUUGAAAACAUGAAAUCAUCCAAUUUUAAAGGAUUUAAAACGAAAUAACUCUUGGAUGAUUUUGGUGCAUAAGUAAAGAAUGUAAUGCAUGAAAAAAACCUAAUGCACCAACAACCUUACAAAGAGAUCUUAUGAAGCUUGGGUCUUAAAAAGAACUUCUCUUUGAAGUCUUCUGACUGAACUUCUCUAUUGUACCAAAAUACUUAGUCUUUUUAUGUAGUAAUUUUGGUCAAGAAAAACUAGAAAAAGAGUCACUACGAAUUUUGUAGUAUUCCGGGUAUCGUUCUCAAUGACUGGCUUAUGGAAAUUGUCAACACUAGAAUAAUUGAAUUGCUUUCUUUUAAAUCUUAAAGUGAAAAACAAUAUGAGAAUAAUGUGAAACUAAGUAAAAGAAAUUAAAUUAAUAACAAAAUGGAUAUUGAUUUUAAAUUCGAUUGAUUUAAGUUUGGGGUUUUCCACAAUCCAACCUAGGGUAUAGAAAUUAGAGAAAACAAGGGUCUUUUAAGUAAUAUGAUCUUAGGGUUUUGGGAUCCUUAGCUGCUCGCGAUCAAAUUGAGUUCUAUAACUCAAAAUUGCAUUCGAAACCUAAUUUUUCAUUUUUAAAACAGAUUUCUACAACCAUCAAAUGAAUGAAAUUGAUUACCAAUUUAAGAUUUGACUUUUUAACCCUUCCUAGUCCUUAUAGUUUUGUUUUGGGGCAAAUAACGAUAGGGAAGAUGAGGAUAACUAAUGAUCAAGAAUUACCAAGAAUCACUAGUAUCAGGUAAUAACCUACCGUAUCAUUCCCUAAACGAACUCACAAGUAUAGGAUUAAAAAAAAUGAUAAAUUGUCACCCAACCAAUAAUUAAUCUCAUUGUUAUAAUAAUUAACCCAUUGUCCCUAUAAGUUUUCUACCCCUUAGGUUUUCAUACUUUAAGCCCGAAGUUGGUUCUUAGCCUCUCAUGGGGGUGAUGUCACAUUCACAAUCCAUAAUAGGGUAAAAAUCCAUAAUUGAAUCAAAAGAACUUAAACAAUAUUUUUAAUAAAGAAUAAAAAGAAAACAAACAAAAGUUUUCAUCUUCUUUCAUCUUCAAUGUCAAACUCUCCGGAAAAAAAAUUCAAGAUCCCUAAAACUUAGAAUUAAGAAAGUUUAUAUAAUAUCAUCAAUUACCUAACAUGUGACACACUCUCAUUGACCACUUAUUACAAAAUAAUUUCCUAAAAAUGAUUAAAAAAAUAAUAAAAUUGUGAUUUCUAGCCGUGUAGGGUCCACUUAGGGCAGAUGGAGUACCCUAUAUGCAAUUCCCGAGGUAGAGGAGGCGAAACAUCAAAGUGGUAGUGGGUGAAUUCGAAAUUGGUAUCAUUUCGAAGUGAAUUUCGAAUUUACAAGUUGGAUUUCGAAUUCAUAAGUUGGAUUUCGAAAUCAUUUCGAAAUGACCCUUCAGCUUGGUGCAGUUAUCUUCCAAUGGUCAUAACUUCUUCAUUUCAGCUCCAAUUUGCACAUCAUUUGAAGCGUUGAACUUUUGACUUCCCGAGAUUCAAAAUGAUAUAUAGUAUAUAUAAAAUAGACUCUGGUAAGUACUCUAAAUUUAUCCUCAAAUUCAAAGUGUAUAUUACUACCAGAUUUUUGAGUUCUAAAUUUCCAUGUUGCCAUGUUUUCUUGCUUUCUUUCUUACUUCAUAAUGGUCAUUUCUCAUCUUUUAAACUCAUGAUAUCCUCAUCUUGCCUUUCCUUAUGGUCCAUGAGUCUUGACUCACUUAUUUCCUCAUUUACCCCUUUCUUAAUCUUUCAAAAUCUAAAGUGAUUCAACUUGCACCAUUUUCUUCCCUUGAACCUGAGAUAAGUUUUCAAAGUACAAAUUAAACUCAUAGCUAGGGUCUUAGCAUUGAUUUAGGUCAAAUUAUGUGAUUUGAAUGUCCUUUGGUGCACAAAUCAUAUCGAAUAUGUGUCAUUAGAGCAUAUAUUUUGGCUCUAAUCAUCUUUUUUUUCUUAUUGAUUUCUCUUUGGCUUAAUUUUGUCUUUAUGAUUGCCACUUUGGAAAUCUUUUUGCCUAAUCACACUUGAAAUAUAAUAUUAGUUACAAACCUUGUUUUGUUAUCAUCAAAACUGAAAUUAACCAAACCUUGGUUUCACAGAAAGCUUCAUAGCAUGUAGACCACCUUGUCAACCUAUAAUCAAGCCAUUAAUUUCCCUACAUACACCGUAAAGGAUAUAGGAAAUAUACGACAACCAAGCCACAAUGCAUAUGUAUUGUCAUAUCACCACUAAUAAUUCUAAAGGCUCUAAGAGUUAAGAAACUUAGGAAGUUACCAGUUGUGGAACCCCUAGAGUCUUUAGCACUAAUGGGAGAAAGGUGCAAGAAAAGUAGUUAUGAUUUGUUCCCUCUUAUCGUGCCAUGAGAAAACACAAAUGUGGCACUUGCUCAAGGAGUUCAAUGAUGUGUCACUUGAGGCCCCUUAUGAUAUGCUAGGGAUAGAUUAUGAGUUGCCUGUCAUCACUUGAAUGUAUUACGACUAGAUGAUUAAUUAUGUAAAAACCACUAAAAUUCACAUGUGAGAGACAUCAAGUAGUUAACAAAUAAGUGUUAGGGCUCUUACAAGCUAGUUUUAUACACGAGGUAUUAUAUUCAAAGUGGUUGGUGAACAUGGUAGUAGUGCCCAAAAAGAAUGAAAAAUGGUGAGUAUGUGUGUACUACACUAACCUAAAGACUGCUUGCCAAAGGACAGUUGCCCUCUCUCAUGCAUAUAUCAAUAGUAGUGCACCAAUUAUUGACAUUCAUCAAUACUUAUUUGGGAUAUAAUCAGAUUUGGAUGGACACAAGUGAUAAAGAGAAAACUGCUUUCAUAACAACAAAAGACGCAUUUUGUUUUAAAGUUAUGUCAUUUGGCAUAAGGAAUGCAAAUGCCACCUAUUGGACGAUGGUUAAACAACUCUGUUGGCAAUAGUUAGGUUAGACUAUGAAAGUAUACAUAGACAAAUAAUCAAAAGCAAUAACAUUAGAGACCACUUCUAAUACCUGGUAAUGUCCUAUAUUUUACAAGAGUAGUAAAUGAAGCUCAACCCGGCUAAAUGCACCUUCAAGGUAGGGUCCAAAAUGUUUUGAGGGUAUAAAAGUAAAGCCGAACUAACCAAAUAAGAAUUGUCCUUGAGAUGUCGAUGCCCCACAUCAUAGGGGCGCCACAAGGCUCACUAGGAAGCUCGUGGCAUUAAGCAUAUUCAUAGUAAGGACAAUCGAUUAAUGGAAACCCUUUUUAAGGUAAGGAUAGGGGGCAUAUGAAAAAGCAUAUGAACAACCAAAGAAAUGCGUCAUCCAUCCAUCGAUUCUAGCUAAACCCAAGUGAGGUCGUAUUGCUAUACCUAGAGGAUUGCUCAAUUCUGAACAGUAGAAAAGGGAGGAAUGUGGAGGGGCUUUCCCGUUCAACAGCAACAUGUGGGCCUGUUCAACAGCACCAACUGGCCUGAGGAGACCAUUCGAACCCCCUCGCCAUCAUAAGCAAAUAAAUCAGAACUUGAUCACAGCAACCGACGGUCAGUUGCACUAAUUAUGAAUUUAAUGUGCAUUAAUUGCAUACAAUGUGGCACCGUAAUCUUGCCCUUUCCAUUGACCAUACCGUCAUGUGGGAAAUCCAACUGCUCUCAUGGUCAGUACGUAAUAACCUUCUACUGACUUGAACAUUGAAGCCCUCGCUGAACAGCAAGGGGAACGAUACUAACAAUUUUACAUAUGAUAUAUAAAAUAUAUGUGCAUAGUGUGGCAUUUGCAAUCAAUGCACUUUGAGAUGGCCCAACUUUAGUUUAUAGAAGCCACAUUAACUUUUACUUUAAUUUGGGACAUACCGUCCUAUAAUCAGUCAUUGAGGGAGAAAAAUUGUGACCAAGCAACAGGAUUACUCCUCCAGAAGCAUCCUCCAUCGUGAGUUUCCUAAACGUUAUAUAUCUCAAGCUGCAAUCCAAUAUUUGGAUGGCCUCAAAUAAAAGCAAAUCAAGGCAUGCAAAGAUUGGGACUUGCCCGAUUGGAUAUGGCCAUCAACCUUGUUUGAUUUAAUUAGCAAAUCAUUAGUUACUCAAACUAUAAAUUAGAUGGAGCCCUCAAUUUUGAGGUGUAUUUCAAUCAAGAAAUUUUAGAAUAUUAAUAGAGACAGAUCUUAGUGUUAGAGAGAAUUCUUGCCCAAUCACUAUGGGGUUUAAUGAGUUGAAUAAAUUAGGAUAUCUAUGAGUAGACAGCAUGUCCCCAGAAGCCUUAGUGCCCAAGUUAAAGACAAGAAACAACUAGGAAUAUACCUAAGAGAAGCUCACCUUUUAAAAGGGCCCUUUGUUCCAUUAAGGGGUAAAGAAUUAAUACUCUUAUAUACUAAUUCUCUCCACUAAACUCAUGAACAAGACCCCUGAAAUUUUGUUCUUUACUUUUACAAAAUCUUCUAAAUUACUUUGAAUUAUGUAGAUGAUUAAUUAUAUGCAAUAUUUUAAAACAACAUUAUUUUAAUAAUUCUUUUAGAAAGUAUAAUUAAGCCAUUACGUGUUUGUAGGGGCAUGUGGCUAGGAUUUGGCCACCUUUAUAUUGUUAAUAUUUUUGAGAGAAUAUGUUUGGGCUUUUCCUUAUAAAUUAAGAGUUUUUAGUAUGAAUUAGACACUAAAAUACAAGCCUUAUGAACUUUUAAUGCAAAGAGCAUCACAAAUGAUUCCUCGUCCUACAUAAAAUAGGUUGAAAAUAAGAACCAAUACUCAUCCCCUUAACAUACCCUAUAGAUUUUAAUUUGUUUCAUAAAUUUAAAAAAAUAUAGAUCUAAUUUUCAUCUUCUAAUUUAUGAAAGGUCAAAUAUACUUAAUUUCAUUGACAAAACAAUUUUAAGUCAAAUAUAUCUAUUUAUGUUAAUCAAUAAAUGAUAGAAAUGAAAUAUUCAUGAAUAUUUAAAAAAUGAUAUAUACAUAUAUAUAGACAGAUAGAUAGUUCAUUUCUAAUAUAAAUAUAUUUUGAUUUAACUUAUAGCGUUAGAAAAUCACCUACAGCAUUUUCUAAAGAGAUGGUUUUCAUUUUGAGUAGAAAUAUGUUUUUCUUAAUUAAUAAUUAAACCAUGAGUAAGAUUUAAGAGUUUGGAAGCGAGAAGACAUGGUAGCCAUUCUGAUAAAAAGAAAAGGGCCAAUUAGAGAAUUAAAAGGGGAGAGGUGUAAUGAAAGCAAUUAAAAUUCAAAGCGGCCAACUUUUUCUAGAGUCUUGCUUUGCUUUGUGUAAGAGAGGGUCGUUAGGAGGAAACUCAAUUGUGAGCAACAAGAAAAAAAUGCCAUAUUCUAAAGAAGCUCUUGCUAGGCUGUUCUACAAUGUCUCCAGUUCUUUACAGCUUCUCUUCCUCUUCUUCUUCUUCUCCUCCAUUUUGCUUGCAAAGCUCCUCCACUUCCUCUGCAACCACCCAAUAUUCCAAAGGUCUACACCAUCUCUCUCUUGGUCUUUCUCUUGAUUAAUUUGCCAUAUAGACACAUAAAGAUGAUACUGUGUUUUAACUUUUCUUUUGUUCUUUCGCAGGACCCAACAUGGAUCUGCAGUUGGAUUGUUUUUGGACGACGAAGAAGAGGAGGACAUAUAUUUUCAUGAGGAGGAGUGCAUGGAGAAAGAUGAUCACCUGGUGGCCGACAUAGUUGAUGGUGGAGAAUCACUUCUGUUUUUGCCUGUCAACCGUCCUGUGAAGGAUCAAGAUCUUGAGCAUCAUGAAGAAACCAUAAGCAGUAGUACUACUCCUCGUGGCGAUUACAACUACUUCUUCCACCAAGAAGAGUCAAGUGAUGAUCAUAACUCACUGGUUCAAGAAUCAGAAGUACAUGAUGACAAGGAAGAUGAGGCUGAAGAAGAGAUCCCAACAUCAGAUACUGAUGCUGAUGCGGUAUACAAUUUUGGCCCCAAUGAAGGUGACCCCACCUCGCCGAUAACCAUCAAUCUAACCAAAAGUGGCUUGGUGGCCGAUGACGAAACCCAUGACGGUAUUUGCAUUAUAUUUGGCAUCCUUAGCCUUAUACCAUUAGUUAUAGUGCUUUAAUUUUAGUACUGGCACUCCACCUGAAGUUGCUUAUUCCUUUGUAGAGAAACGCGACGAGGAAGAUUCCAAAGGUGGUAAGGAUAAAAUUGAAGAUGGGAAGGUGGAAGAGACUACAAAUUUCACUAAAGAUGAAAAGUUCUUAAUUUUUGCGCCCCCUCAAUCGGAGGCUAAGAAGUUUCAUGUCCAAGAAAAGGAUAAUGAAGAGACUUGUGGCGACUCGUAUACCGUUGGAUCUACUUCUAAGAGCUCGUCUGAAUGGAGAAGUUCCAUUAAUUUCAGGGAUUCAGGGACAGAAGAUCCAUUUUCGUCCUCUUCCCGGAGGAGUUGCCCCAAGUGGGAAUCUUACACUGUGUUUCAGAAGUAUGAUGAAGAGAUGACAUUCUUAGAUAGGAUCAGCGCCCAAAAGCUUCAGGAAACAGGUAAUUUUCACUUUACAUAUUUAUUUAUUUUACAUUAUGAUCGUACCAUUUUAUAAAACAACUUAGAAUCUAUUUGGUAGUGAUUUUAAGAAGCACUUUUAAAGUUUUUAAUACUUAAAAAUUUUCAUCAUUCAAAAUGUUAAAAAUGUUAUAAACGCUUUCUAAAAUUACUUCCAAAUCCACUCUUAAUUUACAUAGCUACAUACAGAGUCUCUUAGGUCAAUCCAAGUCUGUCCAAAGUCAAUCUCAGGGAGGAUUGCUCAUAAAUUGGGAACAAUCAACAAGAGAUCAUCAGAUACCCAUCAGAACCCGUAUCAUGAACUAGAAGCUGCUUAUGUAGCACAAAUUUGCUUAACAUGGGAAGCUCUUAAUUGGAACUACAAGAACUUUCAGCGCCUGAGAGCUUCGCGUCGUGAAUGUGACCCCGGCAGUCCUGCUCAUAUUGCCCAGCAGUUUCAGCAAUUCCAAGUGCUUUUACAGCGGUACAUUGAGAAUGAGCCCUAUGAGCAUGGCAAGAGACCUGAGAUUUAUGCUAGGAUGAGAAUUUUGGCACCAAAGCUGCUCCAAGUGCCAGAAUAUCGAGGUACUCAUAAGACAAAGUGCUUUUAGUUUCUCGAGAUAACUUCAAUUUUCUUUUUGUUAACAAUAUAUCUGUAUAUUAAUUGGUUUUUAAAGAUUCUGAAGAUGAUCAAAAGGAUGAAAGUCUGAAGUCAAGAAUUUCGUCAGAUUCAUUUCUUAUUAUAUUAGAAGAGGGAAUAAGAACAUUCAUGAAUUUUCUCAAGGGGGAUAGGGAGAAACCUUGCCAGAUCAUAGCAGCUUUGUUCAAGAGGAACCGAAAAGGUUUGGUUGAUCCAACUCUUCUACAUCUGAUGAAGAAAGCAAAUCAGAAGGUACAAAUUAAUGGUAUUUGCUUUUGAGCCAUUCAAAAUAUCUACAUUAUUUUCUAAACUUACAGUUCGGUGUUAAAAUUCAAUCUGCAGAAGAAGUUAAGGCUCAAAGAUCUCCGCAGAACUGGCAAGUGCUUAAGGAAAAGAAGGUUAAAGGAGGAGGAAGAAAUGGAGAUUCUGAUGGGACUGAUAGACAUAAAAGUGGUGUCUAGGGUUUUGAGAAUGAGUGACAUAACAGAAGAGCAAUUACACUGGUGUGAAGAAAAGAUGAGCAAAGUGAGAGUUUUGGAAGGGAAGCUGCAAAGAGAUUCCUCACCACUUUUCUUCCCUGCACACUGACCCCACCAUAGAUUGGGUAUUUGUUGCUUGAUGACUAGACCAUGAAUGUGCGGUGACUGCAUGCAGAUGAAUAUCCUAAGGCAGACACACCCUUUUGUAAAUACUGUAAAGAAAAAUGAGAGGAAGGGGACCCACAAAUCAAAGCCAUGACAUGUGGGUGACAUAGAUUUUGAAGAUAUGGAAUCCAUGAAAGAAAAGAUGGGUUGGCUCUCUGAUUUCAUGAACAUUGAAAGUGAAAAGAGCUGGGACAAAGCAAGGAACACGAAGAUAGAGACGAGGUAGCUUUAGUUUGCUUUAUCUUUUGAAUUAGGGUUUAUCUAUAAGGGUUUUGAGCUGAAUCAAAAGAGAGAGAUUUGGGCAAAGCUGCUGCUACACAUGCAGUGGAAUAAAAAGGUGGCACAUGGUACACUCAAAGGGUGGGAGCCCGAGCUUCAUUUGGUACCACUUUCUUUGGGGAAAAGAUGAAUAAAUAAAUAAUCAACCAUGUAAGGUGUAUUCAGACUUCAGAGAGUUGCGUCCCUCUCAUGAUUUCUAUAAAAAGUUAAUCUUGUAGUUGGGUUAUCAUGACCUUCAUUGACUUCCAUCAUCAUUAAUAAUCUUUGGAAGAUAGUCUAUGAUUUAUUUCAUGAGCACUCUCUGCAACAUUCCAUUUAUUUGAUUUAUAUAUAACUCAUACAAUAAAAAGAUCAAUGUUAUACUAAUAUGUACUCAAUAUUGACACCUUCUAUUAAAUAAGAUUACUAUUUCAUAUCUUAGGUAAUAUGUCUACAUUCAUACAUCAAACUUAUUUGGACUUUAGUCAUAACCAAAGUUAAUUAGCUCAAUGAACCAUUUUCAGCCAUUACCAAAUUAUUUCCUAUGGUCAUGUCUGGACGUUGGAAUGGAGAUUUUAGAAUGGAAAUAGGAAUCAAAAAUUCAUUAGUGUGGAAAUUAAAUUCCACUCUCAUUAAUUAGGAUUUUGAUUCUUUUUUUUCAUAUGGUGUAUGUAUUAAGAUUCACCUUAGAGAUGACAACGAGACCGUUUGAGACUCUCACCCCUAUCCCAACCUCAUUCUGUUUAUUUAUACAUAUUUCCAACUUCUCAAAAUAUAUAUAUACAUAUUUAAAUGACAGGAUUUAUAUAGAAAAUUCUCAUACCCAUUUUGCCUACCCCAUUUAAUUUUUUAAAAUUUUUUGUUUGUAAAAUUUAAAUUUUAUUAAAAAUAAAUAUAAAUUAUAAAUAAAGAAAUAUUAUAAACAAUUAUAAUUUAUUUUUAUGAAAGUAAUAUUUUAUUUAUGUUAAAAAGUUGCAAGAGAAAUCAACAAAAAUAAUUUUUUAUUUAAAAUUAUGUGUAAUCAGGAUGGAGCGAGACAAAAUCAUACCCAAACCAUCACGAGUUUUUAAAAAGUUUUCAAACUCAAUCUCAAUUGGUUUAUCUUUAUCUCAGACCCUUCCCAUUAGGGGCGGGGAAGUACCUAAAAAAGGGCCCAUUGCCAUCCCUAAUUCGCCUCCAUUCUCAUCCUAUUUCCAUUUAUAUUCACACAUAUUAAAAGCACACUAAAUUCUAUACCAUUUUUUUAUUAUUAGAAGGAUUUAUCAUAGGCUUUUCCAGGUAAUAGAAAUUGUGAGUCAGUUCAAAGGAAUGCAUCCCUUGAUUCCCAAGCUACUAAGUAAUAGGAUUCAGAAAUUCAUGUCAUUGGAUUUCACUAGGAAACUUCGACUAAUUUUCUGUUCUAUUAUUUAAAUGCUAAAGAGAUAAGUUUUGAGACAUGACUCGGGUGGCAAGACGUAGACUAGAAGUGAGGAAAUUUCAAAUAAGAUCUAAUAAAAAAAAAAGUCUCAUGGUUGGGCCUCUGCGUCAUCAAAAACAGAAAAUCCCACCUAAUUUCAACUACUAGACAUUUCAAAAUUAAUUUCAAUCAUUAAAUAAGUAAAAAAAAAAAAAAAAACUUAUCAUAGAUUAACAAAAAAGAAUUGUAUUCAUGUUCUGCAUUCCUCCUAUUAUAGCAGAGCCCAUAUCAAUUGGGCUUUGAUUUUGUUUUGGGCCUAAAAGGGAGCCCAGUUUUAAAUCAACCCAGUCAAAGGGAGACUUAUGUAUGAAAUUUGGAAAUUGGAUUAUGAAAUUACGUAACAUAAUUUUUAUGAAUUGGAUCAAUUGAAUGAAUGUGAGUAAAGGGAUCCAUGGAUGAAGAUAGAAAAGUAGAUUUCUACUCGUAACUAAAUCUUCAAUUUUAAGUUUAUUUGUAUUUUGUAAAGGGGCGAUUGAAGCAAACUAGCUAAUAAAGGAUGUCUUUAGUUUACUAGAGACAUCGAAAUAUUGUUUUACCUUUAUGGAAACAAUAUGUUUUUCCUCAAGAUUCUCUCAAAUUGAAAUAGAGAACAAAGCAACCAGAAAGAUUCUUAUAAUCAUCCUGUUCUAGAGGGAUCAUCUAGAAAACCAAUCGUUUCGAAUAUAUUCAAGCAGAAAAAAUGACAUAGAUGUUAUGAAUCGAUUUUUUUUUUUUUCAUUUCAUUGAUGUCUUAAAUCUGGAAAUUUAUCCAUCCUCCAUAAAGGAGCCGAAUGAAACCAAAGUUUUAUAGAUGGGUCUAUGCGGUUAACUGAGGAAGGAACCUUUGAGUGCACGUGACAGAGUUUGUUUGGUGAUGGGCAAAUUAUACAAUUGAUUACGACAUUUGACAUUUGGGGUUUCCCGAAAUGGAUGCUAUCCAAUUGCACAAAUUGGAUAAUACACGGCUGAUGGGCGUUGCCGUUCCGCUCCACUCUUUCUUCUCCAUUCAAAGCCUAUCCAUAUGAUAAUUCAAUACAGGAACCGACCAACAACCCAAGCAUCAUGUCGGUAUCUUUGCUUCCAAGCAAAAUAAUUAUCAUCAGACAUAGCUUUACUUAAAUUUUUUAACCAAAAAAAAAAAAAAAAUUAUUGUAUGGUAGUUAAAAAAGGUUAACUUCUUUGGAUGAGCCAACAUUUAUAUCAUCUCUCACCAACUUUAAGUGAGCCAAGAGGCCCUUUUCCCAUGUGAGCUAUUAAUGAAAGGAAAAUGCUAUGGUACCACAAUGGUACCUCUCAUAGUGAUACCUAAGAAAUUAGGAAUUCCUUGUAUAUGAUAAGAUCAAAUAAUGAAAGGACGGAUGAAUAAAACUUUUUAUAAAGAUAUAAACAAAAAAAACCAAAGAUGUUUAUUAAAAUCAAGCCUCCACCUCGGGCGAAACCAUCCAACCUGAUGACUCAGAUAAGAAGAAAUAAAACAUGUCCGACAAAAAGUUAAACAUCACAAACCUAGAAUAAAGAGAAAACCUAUAAAAAGUAAAAAUCAUCUUCUUAGUACCCUUAAAAACCAUAAUGUAAUUGAUGAAAUUUAAAAACAUAUAAAUGAUUUGACAUAAUUGAUGGUAGAUUUUCGAUAAAUACUAAAAAAAGCAUAUUUCGAUACUACAAGUAUAUUAAGACAUUAACGAAAUAAUCAUCUUUUCCUCUUAUUUGUGGAUACCCAUCUUUUCAUUUCUCUGAUCUUAGAUGGGCAACCAUUCAUUUGCUAAGGAUUAGGUCCCUUUCAAGAUGGGAAAGCUCUUAUUUCACUCCUGGAAAAACACAUACUGGGAAUUCAAAGCAGCUUAAUUAUAGAAGGAAAAACAGCCUGUAAAGCCAAGCACUAGCAUAUAGUUGUUUUCAGAGGAAGAAAAGAGAGAGAGAGAGAGAGAGAAACAUGAUGGGUAUGUUCAAUUGAAACUGAACAAACAGAGACAACAAGAAGAAAGCAGAGAAAAGCCAAAUGCAAAAGCCUUGGUUUUUCAUAGCUCAGUGACUGACUCUACAAGGACACUUUCAAGAAUGGCGUGCUGAUGCCCAUCUGGUCUUCUACCCAACCUUGUGGUGAUUGAUGUGGAAUCCACCCACCAUUUUUGUUAAUAGAUGUCAUAAUUGUUUCUUUUCUGUUGGGUUUUUCAUCUUAAUUUACAAUGGUAAAUUUUUUUUUUUUCCCUCUAUGUAUACCAUUUUUCACUUUUAGGACAUAGGAUUCUUUGACAAGUACUUCCACAAAGGUUUGAGGUAUGUGAUUACUUUAACUCAUUGUGAUAGAUCCCAGCAUAUCUCAGUUUUGAUUGGUGUUUCUCUACCUAAGAGACAACAGCAGACAAGUCUUUUCCAUAUGGAACAGAUGAAAAUUUUCUUUUUCUCCAAACAGGUACGGUCUUUCUAUGUAGUAUUUUUCAAAGUAAUUUUUUAUUUUUAAAAAUAAAUUUUAUCCUAUACUGUAAUUGUUUUUCAUACUAAAAAGUAAAAACAGGUCUAAUAACUUUUCAGUAGAAGAUAGUUUUCUGAAAUUUUGUUUUGAAAGUAAGAUAUUUUCUAAGAAUGUGUUUUAAUUACUUUCCAUCUUUUUCACUUUUUUUUUUUAAUGCGUAAGGGGUAUUUUUAAAAAUAAUUAUACAAAUAUUAAGAGUAAUUGAAAAUGAAAUAUUAUGAAUAAAAAUUCUUUAAAAAAAAUAUUUGAAAACUCAAAAAAUUAAAUUAACAACAUUUCAAGUUUUUAAAUAAAUUUUUGUUUUAUAAAAUGUGAAAAAACUAUUUUUUGAAAUUGUUUUUAUUACAUGUUGCAUUUAAAACAUUGUCAAACAUUGUCAAACAUUGUAUGAAGUUUUGUCUAUAAGACAUUUUUUUUAUUAAUUUUUGUAAAAAAUAUCAAGUAUUCAAACUUUCGAUAAAAAAAAACCAAUUACGAUUUAGGUAAUUUUACUAGAUUUAUUUACUAUGCUCAACUUUUUCAUUAUAAUCCCUUAAUCUUUUAAAUAUUACCUUUUUUUAUAAACCAUUUAAGGGUAUGCUUGAUUCAAUAUAUUUUUUUAUUUGAUUUUAUUAUAAAUAAAAAAAAUAUAAAUGAAAUUAGAAUAAUAUAUAAAAAUAAUUUACUGUCUUUAAAAAAAAAUUCUUUUUUUUUUUUCUGCCCAAAAACAUAAUUUAGUAAAAGUUUUAGAAAGGGUUGCAAAUUGAGAAGGGUCAUUCUGUAAAGUAACGAAAAGGGGUUGGAGUGGCAUGUGGAGGAAUCAGUACCCAAAAAUUUAAAAAUAAAAAGAUAAAAAAAUAAAAAAUAAAAGUAGUAGAUCCAUAUGCGGGGCAAGUGGCGUAGUUGCAUGGCCCAUUCCCAAUAUAUUUGUCUCUUUCGCUUUGGACUCGAAUCUACGCACGCUCUCCAUUCACCCCACGCUCCUUUCCGGUUUCCGCCUCUAUUAAAUAAGAUGCUCCUCUUGGAAUAUUUUUUUCCAUUUUCUUUUUUUCUUUUUUUAUUCCCCUUUAAAAAAAUGGUGUGAUGUCAGCAAGUGUAUCCACGUCAUUUAAUUUUUUAAAAAUUUUAGUUUAAGUAGAUUGGAAUAUUUCCUUCAUUUUUUUUUACCUUGAAAUAUCUUUUACAAAAAUAUUUUGAAGUUUUAAUAGAAAAAUUAUAUGUAAUUAAGAUAGUAUGAUUAAUUUUUUUAAAUAAAAAAUCAACAAAAAGACUAAGACACGUGUGGAUGACAUCUUGUGAAUAACAUUCAAGGAAAUAAAUGGAGAAAAAAGAGAAGAAAAUCGUUUUUUUUCUUUCCUUUUUAACUUUAUUUUAUACUGAAAUUAAUAAUAAAAGUUUUAAAUUGUUAAUAAAUUAUUUAUGGGAAAAAUGUAAAGUAAAUAAAUUAUUUAGAUAUGAUUUUUUUUUAUAAAGAUUAAAUAAUAUAAUAUAUAUAAUUUUUUAACUUGAUUAUAAUUAGAUUUAAUUUUUUUAUUGAAACACCAAAGAUAAGGAAGAAAUGGAAUUCAAAUAGAAUUAAAUGUAUUUAUAAAUUAAACAAAUAUUAAAAGAAUAAAAAUAAUAAUAUUUUUAUAUAAAUAUAAUGAUUCAAUUAAAAUAUACUAUUUUUUAAAAUUGAUUAAAAAUUAAAGUAUAAAAAAGUUUUUAUUAACUAAAUUUUGAAAUAAGAUAAGUCUUUUAAAAAAAAAAUUCAAAAACCCUUUUUCUUUUAUUUAGGGUAAAAUCUUAAAAAAAAUCAUAUUGAAUUUCAAUCAUUGAAAAUUAAUUAAUUUAAUGAUUGAAAAAAUGGAAAAAAUGUAAAAUAUUAAUUUAAGUUUGAUGGACCAAAUGGAGGGUGGCUACCACGUCCUAUGAACCUUCCUUUAGUAAAUGGAAUUUUUGGUCUCAUCCUUGUCUUUUACAAGGAUGACGUGGAGAAAACUGAUUGGUGGUGGAGCAAAAAGCCCAAAGUUGCGGACCUCACAUGAUGAUCCCCUCGUGUGGACCGAAUCGCUGCGUUGUAUCGCAGAAGGGACGAGGACAAGCCGAACACGAAUCUCCACGACCAAAAGGCAUAAAUCAACGGUGAUUAGAUCGCAUCAUAUAAUAUAUGCAUCAACACAGAAACAUUCCCCAAAUGCCUCUCUCUUUCUCUCUCUAGUUUCUCUGUCUAUGAAUAUUCAGCAAACUUAACUCUUUAUCUUCCUUUUCCAUCCUCUCCUCCGUCGCUCUCUCUGGUUGCUCCAUCCUCUGUUUGGAGGACCUUGACCCACCUCCGCAGGCCCAGCUCAGGUCACUUCUCUCUCUGGAUUCUUUUAUUUCAUGGGUUUGUUUAUGUGUUGGUUUGAUUGGAUCUGAAACCCCCCUCGUUUGAUCUGUGUGUAUCAGGUGGCGUUGCCCAGAUCUUUGAUUUGUGGAGGAUGAUGAAGGGUUGUGCCAUGGAGCAGAGCAGUACGUACGCGGCCUGUGAGGAGAUGAUCAUGAUGAUGGGUUCCGUCUCCGUCGUUUGCCCCAAGCCUCGUCGCCUUGGCCUCUUCAACAACGACCACAUCCCACCCCGGAGAUGGCACAUGCAGUAUGUUUUCCUUUUUUUUUCUUUUGCCGAGAAAUUCUUUGUUUUCUCCGGAGAAAAUACCCUUUUAGUGAUUGGAUUAAUUAAUUUUAGUUUUUCUUGUUUGCCGAACACCAGUCAUGAUGAUUCCAAGGAUGGGUCGGAGCUUCUUGACAUCAUUCUCGCCAAGGUAUUGUUCUGUUCCACUUCUCUUUUGUGGGUUCCGUUCAACGAUGAUGUCUCUAUUCUCACUACGAUUCUUCUUCUCAUUACAGGGAUCCGAAAGAUCGGGCCACCAGGUGGCUUCAUCUCCACCAUAUUUUUGUGGGUCACCGCCGAGCAGAGCUUCGAAUCCCGUAAUCCAAGACGCCCAAUUCGGGAACGAAAAGGUCACACCCUUCUCUCGGGCGCCGUCACCAGCCCGCAAACCCGCUGGAGGAGGAGGGGGAGGAGGAGGAGGUGGGGCCGGUGGUGUGAGAAUGAUGAAAUUCGGAUCCAAGCCGGCGGCGGUGAGGAUUGAAGGGUUCGACUGCCUGGGCAGAGAUGGGCAAAGCCGCAGCAUAUCAGCCGUGGCAUAGGCCCCCCUGAAACCAAAGUUUUGGAAAAUGCAGAGGAACUAAUGGUAGAAAUUAUGUGUAUGUAUAUACAGUUGAAUUGAAUUGGUUUUGAAGACAUAUAUAUAUAAUAUAAAUAUUUAUAUAUAUAUUUGUGGAAUAUUGAGUUGAUGAAAGAGAGAGAGGAGUGUUAAUUUUGAAGAAUAAGGAGAUAGGGAGGAAAGGGAGAGACUAAGAGGUCUUUCCCUUACUAGGGUUUUGAUUGGAGUCUGGUGGAGAGAGAAAGAGCCUGCCCUCUGUCUCUUUCUCUGUCUUUGUUGUGUGUGUCUGUAAUUUUACUCACUCUGGUCCUUCAUUGUAAUUGUAAUUUGAGGUGAAGGGGGAAGGAGAAUGGAGAUGAAGCUGGGUCUUCUUGUAAUUUUGCUACUUUAUUCCGGGGUCUUUUGGACCUUAAAUAAUUCUGUAAAGAAGCACGUGCUGUGCCUAUUGUAAAUAUUUUAUAUAUUUAUUUUAUUUUGGUGGGUGUUAGGUUAUUAUGAAUUUGACUUUUAUUUUCAAAUAACAAAUUUGAUUUCGUGUCUUUGAAAAGUGGAGCAAAUAUGACAUCAUGGCAGAUUUGGGAAAUUAAAGAAAUUGAAUGAUAAAAAUAAUAUUAUUUGCAUGCCUCAGGGCAAAGCCGCCUCCUGUGGAGGUUAGACUUGGGACAGGGAGUGGAAGACAAAAUAAUUGGAAGGAUGAUGAAUUGUCCACUGUAGUGUCUACAGUAUACAGGUGGCCUUGAGUUGGACUUAAGCUUUAAAGAUGACAGCUGCUGAUCUCACCAACUCCCUACUUUUCGCGCUUGAAUUCUCUCUCAUUCUUCAUUGCUUCCUUCCUACCUCUCAUCCUCUGCCCCUGCUUUCUGCUUAGUUCUUUUCUUUAAAUUCAAGUCACCGCGGUUCGCUCUCUCUCUCUCUCUCUCUAUUUUCGCCUUUUCCCUAGAGCGUUUGGCUACGGCAAAAAAGACGUAUCCAUUGCAAUGAACGGCAUGGGCUCAGUCGUCUGGUGGGCAUGACUUUUCAAGAUUUUUAGUCAUAUCCACCAGCAGGCUGAACCCAUGUCGUGCUGCCCAUAGUGGGCUAGUUUGUAGGUGUUAAUGGGCUAGCCGCUAGCCUUGUUCUUAAACAGUAUAAAGACUUUGGGCUCAAGAAAAUCCGAUAGUGAAGGACAAAUUUGCAAACUUGUUCAUUGUAUGACAUGACAUCAUAGAUUUUCUCAGUUCUUGAAAUGACAACCAGACAGAUUAGAGUAAUUAACUGCAAAAAAUAAUUUUCUUAGCUCGUGAUCGGAUACAGUUCCUAUUUGUUAUUUUUAAAAAUAUAAAAUAGUUAUGUUUUUAAAAAAACACUUUUAACCUAAGUAGUGUUUUUAAAAAAUUACCAAUUGUUUGAGAAAAUUUAGAAAACAUUUUUAAAAUUUUAAAAAAUUACUUAUAAGGUUAAAAAUUACUUAUAAUGACUUUUUAAGAAACAUUUAAUAAAUUUUUUUUGUAAAAAUACUUCUAAAAAAGCACUUUCAUUAAAAAGUAAAAACAUUUCAAAUUGAGACAUUAUUAAAGGCAUUGUAAGAGUCUUUUUAAGAAAACACUUUUAGCUUAAAUAGUAUUUUUGAAAAAAAAAUUGUUUAGUCAAAUUUAAAAAAUAUUUUUAAAAUUUUGAAAAAUUAGUUAUAAUAUUAAAAAAUUAUUUAUAAUAUUUUUUUAAAAAAUACUUAAUAAAUAAUUUUCUUAAAAAUAUACUAAAAGAAUACACAUUUACUAAGAAUGUAUUUGACCGUGAUUUUAGAAAGUGUUAAUAAUCCUUUUAAUGUUUGAAAAAUAAAAAAAUUUAAAUAUUAAAAAAACUAAAAACAAUUCAUAAAAUCACUAUCAAAACGCACUCUAAAACCUUUUGAACAAAAUAAAGUACUUAAAAUUAAGCUUUUCAAGGUGUAGCCAACAAAGCACUUGUUCUAUCUUCUCAACACUUUUAUAAGGUCACGCCAUAUUAUGGUAUCAUUACUUUGUAUUAAACUUUCAUUUCAUCAUUUUGCAUUUUGAUCAAAUUCUUUUAUGUUUGAUCCUAUUUAGUUACGGGUAAACUAAAAAGCCUUACAAAUUGAAAGUUUUGAAUUUCCACUAACAAAUAACAAUCAAUCUCUUUUUUUUAGGCUAUGUUUAAUUAUCAUAAAAUUUGAGCGCAAAUGUGAGACAAAGAAAAUAGAGAGGAAAAAUUGAACGAAAUAAAAAGUGAAGAAAAAAAAAAUAGAUUUAAAGUUAAAAAUUAUUUUUAUAUAUUGCUUUAAAUUUAUUUCAUUUAUUUUCCUUUAUUAUAUAAAUAUUAAAUAAAUUUAAAAUGCAUGAAUUUUAACUAAUUUUAAUUCUAAUUAAUUUUCUUUCACCAUUUUCUAUAAUGAUGAGAAAAUAAUUUUUGUUAGCAUUUUUUCUUUCCUUAAUACUUUCUUGAAACCAAACAUAACCUUAAGGCUAUAUCAAAGUUAAGUCCAUAAAUUUUUUUAUAAUUAUAAAAGAAUAAUGAUAUCUUUAAACAUACUUGAUUACUUUAUUGGAUUCAUUUUCUACCCUCCAUGAUAUAUAGAAAUUUCUAUUAAAAACUUUCAAAAUUUUUUAUACAAAAGAAGCAAAUGUGUAUGUCUAUUGGGAAGUGAGACCGAAAAGGGUCUAUUUAUUGUUGAUGAGCCCUUUGCUUAUAAGUGUAGUAGUUUACAGAGUGUUUGGUAAUGAUUUUGGGAAGUAUUUGUGGGAUCUUUAAUAUUUAAAAAAUAAAAAAUUUAAAGUGUUAAGAAGACUAAAAAUACUUCCUAAAAUCACUAUCAAACACACUUUAAUCUCCUAAAUGUUGCUUUUUAAUUGUUAAAUCCUCUUUUUGAUUGUUGAAAAGCAUGCAAACCAUGAAACAAGGAUUUGGGGUUAGAAAUUUGUUUUUGAAAAUAAUUUUUUGAGAAUUAAGAACAUAAAAUAAUUUUUUAAUUCAAAAAACAUGUUUAUUAAUUUUUAAAAAAAAAUUAUUAUGAAAACAAAUUAUUCUUUAGAAUAAAGUAGCUGGUUUUUUCUUCUGUUUUUUUUGUCAUAUUUGAAUUUUCUUACAAAAAUUUAUUUUAAAAAAUAUAUAUUUUUUGAGAAUUAUUAUUUUUUAAAUGUUUCUACACAAUUUGUAGGAAGUGAAUUUUACCAAUUUUCAUUAUAUUUUGGGAUUGAAGCAUAUGAGGUUGGAUGGAAUAUGACCUAGAACAGCCAGUUAGCUAAGCUUUUAUGAUUGAUUCGACAUCCAUUCUUUGAUUCUAUCCUAGUCUCUCAAAGCAAAUUUUGGUCAUUAUAAGGCUGGAUUGUAUGUGGUUGAGCUUUUUCUAUAGGCUUUCCAUACUUAUCCACUACCACAUUCUAAAGGGAGCAGUUGUGUUUGAUUGGGAUGCAAUCCAUUCAUUAUUACAAGAGACUUGUUAUUGGGAUUUAUAACUUAUACCCACACUUUCAUCAUUGAUAUAGUAAUAAUAUGGUGAGUGAUGUUGGUGAUAGGAAGAUCCAAGUGAUUAAGAGCCCGUUCAGUGAUUUUAAAAAAUGUUUUCAAAUUUUUUAACUUUUUAAAAUUUGUAUUGUUUAAAUGUUAAAAAGGUAAAAAAUAUUUUCUAAAAUUACUACCAAACACACUUUAAAAGCCUAUUUGAAAGUGAUUUUAGGAAAUAUUUUUAAAGCACAUUUUGACGGUAAUUCUAAAAAGUGUUUCUACUAUUUUUAAUACUUACAAAUUUUUAUUUUUCAAGUAUUAUAAAGAUUAGAAACACUUCCAAAAAUCAUUAACAAACUUACUCUUAAUUUUUUUAACACUUUAAAUUUUUUAUUAUUUAAGUAUUAGAAAUAUUAAAAACGUUUCCUAAAAUCACUCUCAAACGCACUCUAAAAAAUAAUUAUAUUUAUAAAUCAAAAUGCAAUUUAUUUCAUACGGAAUCAAAUAUUCCACGAGAAUACAUACCACAUUGGCAUUAAGAACCCGUUGUACAAUCUGUUAUUUUAAAAACAAUUUUUUAUGAUUUAAAAAAAAAAAAGGUUCAACAAUCAAAAAAUACAAAAUAAUUUUUUUCUUCUUAAAAAUAAAUAACAUGGUAUUUUUAGAAAACAUUUUUUUAAUUAUUUUAAUUUGUUUUCUAAAAAUAAUUUUUAAAAGUAAUUAUAUAAAUAUAAAAAAUGAUUAAAAAUAAAAUACUACAUGUUAAAAACAUUACAACUUUCCAAACAAAUUUUUAUUAUAUAAAACAUUAAAGAAUAUUGUUUAGUGUUUAAAAAGUCCUUGAAAACUAUUUUUCAAAAUUAUUAUCGAAAACACUUUUCAAAUAUAAUUUUAAUUUUAUUUUAUAAGGGAUGUGAUUAAACAAGGAAUUAAAAAAGACUUCAAAAUUCAACAAAUAUGAUCAUAAAAAAACCUAUGCCUAAAUCCGAGUUUGAUUUGUGCUUGAACUUGGUGAAUAUCAAAGACCUUGAAUAACCCUUUGAGGGCAUCUACGGUGAUCAAAGAAAGAUUAGAUUCUAUUUGAAAAUUGUUUUAGAAAAUCGUUUGGAAAAAUAGUGUUUUAUAACUGUUUUUAAAAAUUAUUUUUUGAUAUUUUGUAAAAUAAAUAUCUAUUUAAAAAUUAAUUUGAAAUAUUUUUAUAUUAUUUUAUAUGUUUUAAAAAUAAUUUUUAUAUACAAUAUUUUAUUUUUAAUCAUUCCUGAAUAAUUAUUUUUUAAAACUAGUUUUAAAAAACAAACGAAAACCAGAAAAUAAUUGUUACCACAGCUAGGCAAUUGCGAAGAAUUACAGCACCAAACCAGGAAAGGAAGCCGGUCCCUGACGUUAUGUUGAGGGUAGCUGUGCGGCUUGUGUCUCACCAAACUUUUGCCUUUGACCUUCAGGCACUUGCCAACGCUCUUGUGAUUGCCAUGGACCCGAGCAAGUUGUGCUGGCUGAUGGGUUCCUUUCUAUGCUCCUUUUCUUGGCUUUGGCAUUGUAAAUAUUGGUCAUGUGACAAGAAACUUCCCUGAUAUUUUAAUGCUAUCUGAACUUAUCCAACACUCAACCAUAUAGCAUUUGCUUGAAGCCUUUCACAAUUUCGUGUGAAAAAAAAAAAGUUUAUUUAUAAAAUUUAAGGAAGGAAAAUAAGUUAAAUCAGUAAUCAUUCUUACCUUGAGGUUUUGACUAAAUAUAUCUGAUACUUAUUGAUUUGAAAUUUCGUUAAACACGUGUUUUUUUCGUUAUUUUUAUUUAUUAUUUUCAUAACUCUUAUUAAAAUAUAGGAUAUUUGAUGAAAUUUUAAAUUAAUACAAAUCAUGCAUAUUUAACGAGAACUUGAAAAGAGGCGAGUGAAAUUAACCCUUUAUAUAAUAUAUGUUGUCGGAAAAAAAAAAUCAUAGAAUGAAUUCAUUGACAUCAUGGGAAUUCAUUGUUAAAUUGGAAGAAAUAUCUUGAAAUUGGGUUUUCAUUGAAAUGGAGGAAAGAGUAUCAUUAGCCUCUUUGACAAAGGCUAGCUAAUUGGGUUUUCAUUGUAUGUCAAAGUUAUGUACAACCUACUACUACAAAAAAGAAACCCAUCAUCAAAGAAAUAAAUUAAAACAGGAUUGAAUAUAGAGGUGCGAAAUUGAUCAAUAUUAUUUAAUGGUCCCACAUGAAAAUAGCCUUUCCAGCAAGUCCAUUCAAUUUUCACAAGACAUCCAACCAUAUCCUCAAGGAUGACCUCCCACCACACAAUCCUUGUACCACCUUAUCUCAUAUAUAGAUAGGAAUGAUCAACACUUACAGAAGUAUAUAUUAAGCAAGCAUGAACAGUAAGUAAAUAUAAAGCUGAAAGCAAAGAGCAUAGGUAUUAUUAAAAGUGGUGGCGUUUACAUGGCCACCAACGAUUAAAACAUCCGACGAUGAUGAUACACCAUAUCCUCAUACAAUAUUCCAUUGCAUUACUCCAUCGGAGACUUCGAAUAAGCAAAGAAAAAACAAAAAACAGACACAAAAAAUAAAAUUCCACAAGGGUCCUAAACAUGAGAGUGAAAAAACAUGGACAUCAAAUAUUGCGGAAACAGGAUCAGCUGGGCUUGUAGGCAAUGAAAGCGAUGCAUUGCACUUGGCGGUUAUUGUCGAAUCCGAUGAUUCGGAUGUGGGCGUCAGGGUACGCGGUCCUGGCUUCUUGCACCUCCUUAAUCACCUGGGCUGAGUCAGUGCACCCGAACAUGGGCAGCUUCCACAUGGUCCAGUACCUUCCGUCGUAGUAUCCUGGCGAUCUGUUGUGCUCUCUGUGGGGGUAUGGGUACUGCAUUCACAUACAAAAUAAUAAUCCAAUUAUUCUACAAAUUAAACCUCUAUAAUCCUAGUUUAAAAGCUUCACAGAAAAGUUCAUGAAAAUAACCAGCUUGGUGAAUUCCAAGCAAGGAAUCCAUUUCAUGCGGAGAAGGUAAUCCACUUCCUUGCAUAGCUGUUCGUCGUUGAGGGGUGGGAGGUAUGAGAGAGUCUCGAACUUCAUCAACCCUUCUGUAGGCCAAACCUGUGGUUUUCACAUGUACAAUAUCCACAGUUUAAUUCAUCAUAUAUAAAAAAAUAAAAAAUAAAAAAAACCCAGACUACUAAUGUCUUCUAAUUGAAGUGAAGUUGUGACUUGUGAGGCAGGGUGGUGGCAGUACCUUCAUGCAGCGAACUCGGCCACCAUUGCUAGCGACGGAGGUGAUGUCGGUGUUGGCUUUUCGGGUGCCAGGGAAAGUCGACAAAGAUUUGAGUCCGGUGAAGGGGGCCACCAUGUUGGCCUGAGCCGGGGUAGCACGGUUGAUUGUAGCCACGGUGGCGGAGGAGACCAUGGAGGAAGCCAUUUUCGCCUUUUGGGUUUUGCUAACACCACCACUGCCUUGUGAGUUAUGGCUCCUGCUUACCCCAUCCUAUAUAUAAUCCUCCGAGCUUUACUCUCUUCUCUAACUGGCCUCACAUUUGCAUCCAAGGGCUGAGGGUCGAGGGGUCUGGGGUUGGAGGCCUUUGGGCCGUUGGAUGAUACCAGGGGAUGACAUGAAAAUUUCGAUGGCCACAUAUCAGAAUUGGAUGGGUGCCUUAUCGUUAUGGCACCCCUCUCGGAGUGUCGACACGUGUCGACACCUCAUUAACCUUAUCUAACGUUGUGAAGAAGGUGAUUGUGUGAUGUUUUCUGGCCCUUCGUUUCUGGGGUGACUGCCGCUCUUCGCCCAUGGAUAUUUGGAGUUUUGUUCAAUUACCUAAUUGCCCAUCUGGGAUUUUUUUUCAAAUAUUAUUUUUUUAUUAUUAUUAUCAUGUUUUUUUUAAGUGAUGCGAUGAGGUAUGGAGGUACCAUGAUAAGUAAUGGUGUGACUGCAAGCCAUCAGAUCAGAGGGUCCCCCACUUGGAAUAUUGCUCCAAUUCUACGACUAGGUGACUAACACUCAGCAGCCCUUUAAGCGGAGGAAGAAAUGUGACAGUUUCUAUAAGUGGAGGAAGUCUGAAUUCUGAAAGGCAUCGAUAAGGCCUUAAAACGUAUCUAUUGAAGGCAUAAAUCACUAUGUUCUCUUUUGGCUUACCCCAAAAAAAAACACACAUUCCCUGAUUCAUGUAUUCUUACUUCUCAAAGUCCUCAUUUUGGACUAUUUUACAGGCUUUCUUCCUAGAAUUUCAAAUUCAAAUUCAAAUUCAAAUUCAAGAUCAUAAAGAAGCCUCCACCACUCAAGGUUUAUCUUCUCUCCUAAAGGGAGAUGAUAUUUUGCCAUACAAAGGUUUCAGGACCUCCAAAAGAAAACGGUACUAAUUUUGUGUAAUUUCAGUAUGCUUAUGAGUUACGACUCAACUCAAGUCCCGGUUGGUGAGCAUCACUUCUAAAAAUGUAGUGUUGGGUCAAUUUGUUAGGUGGACCAUCACUUCUCCACAGAAACUUCUAGCUCUUCUCUGCACUUGUGGCCUCUAUUCUUUCAUAUAAGAUGUAAAUAUUCUCACUAAAUAAACCCAAAAGAAAAAAGAGAGAAAAAAGAUUGGUGGAGGUUGUUUUGGAGGAGGGAUCCCUGUGAUCCACAUGUAACAAUCAAGGUUUCCAUUCAAGUUGAUGGAUAGGCCUGUGUGCUAUAACAAAAUCUUGUGCAACUCCACCACAAAUUCUCCAAAUCAAAUCCCACUGUCAAGCCAAGCAACAUGCUCCAGAAAGCGAAUUCUGAAACCUUUUCUAGAUCAGUGACAACAGAUGUGUUUGUGUUUCUUGUUUCAAUGGAGAAGCCAAAGCCUCUUUAAGACGUAUUAGUGCUGUGACAGGAAAAAUAAACUCAUGUUUUGAUCUUGUAGAAGAGAUUGAAAAUGCAUGAUGUAUUGUUUAUAAUGCUGGUGUAAAUAAUGAAACUGUUAGAAAGGGAUUGUAGGGAAAUUGCUUGUGUUGAAGAUGAUCCUUUGAAAUCAUAGUUUCUGCCUUACCUUCAGCUUCAGGCUAAACCCACAGGCAAAAAUGGCAAGAGGAACCUUCUAACACUCAUUUUCUCCCAUCUGCAUUGGGAGGGUAAUACCAAAAACUAAUUUAUGCGGAUUAAGACUGAUUGCGAGAGGAAUAUGACAUUCAACAGGGAAUACAAAAAUCAUAAACUGAAAAGUUUGUUUAUUAAAUCCAAUUAAAUAUGACAUUGCCCACCACGAAAAGCAGUGGAAUACGAAGAAUGACUUCCAAUAGAGGAGCUUCUGUACAGUUAUAAGCAGGAAAAAAAGAAAGAAAAGAGAAAAGAAUUACAUGGAAGUAGUGAAGUACAAACUGCAUAACCAGGAAAAAAUAUGCAACUGACUUCCUUCUAAUUUACUGCCAUCGCCUAGGAGGCUUGGUGAAAGUAGAGCUUCCAGUGCCACUGAUAGUAGCACUUCUUCUCAUUCCUGAGAAGAGCAGUUACAGGGAAAGAUAAGAGAUUGAAGGAAUAUUAUUAGCAAGUAGCAAUUGAUCCCAAAAACUCUAAUAUUUUACAUACCUGUUGCCGCCUUUGGAGAAUCCUUAAGAUGUGAUGGUGGAGGAGAUGAAGUUCGCAAUGUUCUUUGCGGUGGUCUUGUUAUUCUAGAGGCUGGUUUAGACCUGUACAAAAUAAUUUUAGUUCAGGUUUUGGACUUGGAUUCAAUUCCAUCAGUAUACAAGUCCAUAUCAAAAAGCCCCAAAAGUAAUCUCUACAUAUAGACAAAAUCAAGCAACAAAAUGCAGUAGGCUGCUGCUUUGGACUAGCUCAUUACAAGAACAGAAAAUUAUUUCACCCAAGUCAGGGGUAAAGAAUGGUUUGAUAUCUCAUGAUGGGAGAAUUAGUACCCACAUUGGUCAAGGUCCCAAGUUGAAGGGAGACAUAAAAUGGAUAUUACCACAGCAAAUUAUCAACACAACCAUUACUUUCCAAAAAAAGAUUUUGCAUAAAUAAAAUGAAUUAAAUGUAGUAGCAGACCAACUGAUAGAGCAUUCAGUUUUUUAAUAAUGAAGAAAAUUAAAACAGAAAAUUCAAGCUCUCUUUUGCAAUUUUCAUAUGUUUUACUCACAGAUGAAUCUUUGUAUCAACACCCAAAGACUGAAGUAAAGAAGAAAAAUACUCACUUCUCUGUGGUCUCUGAUGCUUUAGAUUGAGCAGGGCCAUUAUUUUCUGUUCGCAUAGGAAAACCACCAUCAGAUGUAUCACUUGAUCUCUCGUCACAAUCUGUCUCCCCAAAUCCUAAGGUCGAAGCAUCUGCAGGAUUAUUCUGACCUAUGUCCCCACCGGCAAGCUUUGAUUUCCGAAGGGAUUCAUUUGGUUGUUUAAAGUCUUCCAUGGACUGCUGGGAAUCAGCAUCAGAAUGCUUAUCACUGUAUUCUGAACUGUUGUCCUGAUCAGAAGCUGCUCUCUCAGCUGGUCCUAAGCCUUUCCCACCUGGUAGUUUCUGGCUUAGUUGAGCAGUCCCACCCACGAAAUUCCUGCUUGGUGGGGAAGAUCCAUACUUAAACGAACCUGUAACACUUCUCUCACAGUUGAGACCAGGAUGUACAUUUUUGAGAUCUUUAAGUAGUUGCAACCGUUCGAUCUCCUCAUCUUUUUUGGCAAUUGUGUCUUUGAGAGAUGCCACCUGCAGGAUCAAUAAGGUAUUUAGAAAACAAGGAACUACCAGUGCCUUGAAAGAUGAUUACUAGUUUUGAUGUUUAACUAAAAUUGAAAUGAGUAAACAAGCAGGUAUAUUCGGUAUGAAAAGACCUAGAUGGAAAUCAGAUGAUAGAAAAUCCACCUUUUCACAUGUGCACAUAUAUCAGUAAUCAAUCAAAAAGGAGUUCUAAUGUAUAUAAACAAAAGAACAGGGUACAGUGUAUUGCAAGAGCACAGUACAGGGCGUUCAAGACCGUCUUUGAAUGCACCUCAAUAUGAUCACUAGACUCCAAAGCUCAAGAAAAAUGGUGUCCCUCCUCUUAAGCAUAUAGCUCCAGUUAAGUGAUAAAUAGAAAAAUGCAAAAAGCACAUACCUCUCCCAAGUGUUUUCAAAUAUCUCUUUCUUUUCAUCUCCAAGUGUUCCUAUAUUCCUUCUUGUUUUGUGUAUGUACCAUGUAUACACAUAAAGAUAUAUUUGUGUAUUCUGUUUUCAAAACCAAAAGCCAAAAACAUUAUCCCCUCAUUUCCUUAUAGCAAAGGGUCAAUAAUCUCGAACUUAUUUUUUCACCUUCUAAAACAUUGGUGUGGAGGUGACAAAAGCAGGGUCCACAAGGACUCAUUUGUAAAGCAAAUCAAUUAUCUAUGACAAUUUUCCUCCUAGUAAAUUGUUGUUGAACAUAUGAAAGCAGUAGCCCCUAGAAAUCAACUGAUAUUUUAUGUAACCAUGUGACCCGACAACUAGAGGAGUAAGAUCUCAUACAUCCUCAGCAAUUAUUUUGAGAUGAAUGUCUGGAAUUAAAACACAGUCCCUAUUCUGAACGUAAGCUGAAUUGGAUAAUAACUGAAAGAUUGAUUGAUCGCUCUGCAAGUUAAGAAAGAGCAAGGGAAAAGGAAAACAAAAAAAAGAAAAAAAAGAUCUUGAGGUCCACUGAGAAAUUAGACCUACUCAACUACUUGAGUAAACCUUAUAUAUUUCUAUAGUGCUUGCAAUACGUCUUGAAAAGCAUAAAAUUCUAUUUAGCACCAUGGCUAGUAAAUAUUCAACAAACUGCUACUUAAAUGAAUAUGAGAACCUGAUCCAUUAAUUCCUUAACGUCCCUGCCCUCUUUGCUACUCCGUGCAGCACCUAGCUCGACUCCAGAAACCCUCUCAGCAAAUUUCAAAGUACUUGCAGUUUCAGAAAAUGAAUUCACAUCAGGAUUAAGCUGCACAAACAUAAGAGUCUUUGCUUGACCACCUGUAGUUUAUAAAGUAGAAAAUAAAAAUCCGCUAUAUGAAGUUCAAAAAGAGGACUAUUGGGAGCUAAGGAAAUAAUUUAGAGUCCUGACGAAACAAUAAGACAGGUGAAGGGAUUUAUUGCUAAAAGCAACUGGAAAACAGUGAAGUACCAAGAGAACUCUGAAGGACUUGAGUAAGCUUGCUGUUUCUGUAUGGUACAUGAGAGCUCUUCUGGGCAAGAGCAAAGAUAACAUCUCCAAGGGCAGAUAGCGAUUUGUUUAUAUGUUGUGCUUCCCUAAGUCUCUCUCCAGUUACCUCAGAGCGAUCUACCCUUUCACUUCCUGCAAGAUCCACCAAGUGAAGACUGCCACGCAAAGAAGCACCAGUCUUCAAAUCCGUCCCCCAAGCAUGAAUAGUUACAAUACUGCAAUAACACAUCUAAGUGAAGAUCAUAACAUGUAGAACAUAUACAGUCUGAAGAUGGUAAUAUCUAAAAAUGAAAUGACAACCUGUGGGAGCGGCUACUUCUUUCAUUCAUAGCAGUGGCACCUACAGAUCUAUUCUUUUGUCCAAUGUCCAUUAAUUCCAUUACAUCUGAGGUUGAUUUGACUGGGAGCAUGGUAGCAUCAGGAACAGCUAACCCAUGGGGCUGAGAGGUAGUCAAAAUCCCAAGUGUGUGCAAAUUAAGGAAAACAAAGGAUUUCAUGCCAAAACACAUGAAAACUAUUUUUCACUUAAUCAAACCCAAGAAGAAAAAGGCCAAGAUGCAGAAUUAACAAAGAUUUCAAAGAGAAUUAUACCACACCAGACAGAUAAAUCUGGAAAAAUCUAGAAAUGUAACUGGAAGAUUAUAGAGAAAUGUUUUAUGACAGUUAUCUGUCAGACAAAAACUAGUCAAUGGAUUAGGCAGAACAACUCAAAGCGAAAACAGAAGAUGAAAAUGAAUAGAGAAGGAUAUCCUUUUUACAUCUUUAUGCCAAAGAAUGAAAAUGAAUAGAGAAGGAUAUUUUUUUUGAGAACUAUCACUUGAUAGUAAAUCACGCACUUGUUCAUUGUAUAUUUCAACCAUUUGAACUCCAAUUUCAUACAUAAAUGAGCUUCUCCUGCUUUGAGUGAUCUCAAAGAGGUCACUUAGUGCACGAUAAUUGACACCCCAUUCCUCCUUGGAUGCUGCAUUGGGGCCAGUCUAGAGGAAAGACAAUACAUUACACAAGUUUUUAUUGAAAAUAUCAACACAUAUGCCAUGUAGACUAAAACAUAUACAAGUUCAUACCAUUGUGUAUGUCUUGCCCGAACCAGUUUGACCAUAAGCAAAUAUACAUACAUUAUAGCCAUCAAGAACAGAUCGUACCAAGGGUUGAGUGUCAGAAAACACCUCAGCUACAAACAUUUUCCAAGCAUAAUAUGAGUCAAGCAUUAUAAUGAUUUCUUGAAAGAGAUCUAUUCAAGGAUCCAAAUUAUAAAAUAUAAGGAUGAAAAACCUUGAGUAGCAGCUGGGCCAUAGACCUUAUUGAAUUUGAACAACCGAUGACUGUCUUUUCCUUGUUUUGAGGGAUUCACAAUACCGAGCUCCCCAUCUUCACCAAUAUAUUCUAUGGUUGUCUGCUUUCCAUUCUGCCCACGGAGAAAUGGCCUUAUCCGGCAAUACACCCUAAUGUUUCCUAUCCAAGAAAUACAUGCAUCAGCCAAAAGAUGCAUUCAUAUAAAACUAGUCGUGAUUCCAACAGAGUUAAAUUGGGCAUGGAACCUUUUAAAUCUUGAACCUCAUUAUAAAGUCUCCUAUUUUCAGCAAGAACUGCAUGAUAGUUUUCAGAGGCAUCUACUAAUGCUUUUAGCUUUACUCCUGAACAACAGAAAAAUCGAUCUAUGAGAACAUGCUACAUAAAUUUAUAUAGAAUCAGGAGAACUUUGUAGUAACCAACCUCACCUAAGCAUUUAAAAUCCUCUGAAUAGCUCUUCUGUGUUUCCAAUACUUCUUUCUUGAUGGACUCGGAAGUGGACCUCAAUCCCUGAUUGUUUAUUCAAAGUUCCAGUAUAAAACAUGAGCAUUAAAUAGUAUAGUUUGAAAGGUCAAGAUCAAUUUGGUUAAAGCGGACCUGCAAGGCACUGAAUAGAAAAUUCACAAGUCUCAGGUAGCUUUGCUCUUUCUUAUCCCACCUUUGGCCUUCUAACCCAGAAUAAGCCUCAAGUUUAUUUAUCUUAUUCCUUGAAUCGGCUAGGAGCUGCUCAAGUUCCCUUGACCUCUUCUCAAACUCUGCUUUAUCUCCCAUACCUUGCUUUUCCAUUUCUGAGAAAUGUUCUUCAUAUGUCUUCCUGGCUAUUUCCAGUUCUUGCUUCAGAGCAGUAAUUUCGAUAUUAUUUUGAUCCUUCUCUUUGUUGGCUAUUUCAAGUUCUUGCUUCAAAGCUGAAAUUUCAAUGCCACUUUGAUCCUUCUUCUUCUUGGCCAUUUCCAGUUCUUGCCUCAGAACCAAAAUUUUAGAAUCAUUUGGAUCCUUCUCUUUCUUCCUUGCUAUUUCCAGUUCUUGCUUUAAAGCUGAAAGUUCCAGAUGGUAUUGCUCCUUCUCUUUCUUCCGGGCCAUUUCCAUUUCUUGCUUCAGAGAAGAAAUUUCAAGAUUUGUGUCAUCCUUCUCUUUUAUCAGUCUAGCCAUAUCCUCCUCAAGCUUCUUCUUGUCUUCCACAUUGGCCUUUUUAGUCUGAAAUAAAAAGAAAUAAAAUUAAAGACUUCAAAGGUAUCCAUACAACCAAGAAAGCAAUAUUAUUUUUUCUCAGGCAAACAAAAUAUGCACCAUGUCAUCUCAAGCAACUGAUCAACAAUUGCAGCAAAUUAAGAAUAGAAUCAAUUGUGAAUACGCCUUCCACUUCCAUCAUGAAAGGAGAAAUUUGAUAUAUCAGUGGGCAGUCAAACCUCACUAUUUCCAUCCUCAUCUUUAACAUCAUUUAACUUUUGAUUCUUAAUGAACACAAAUCAAGGAUAUCAAACAUAUUAAAGUGGUUGAAAAUUGUGAAAAGAAACACCAGAAUCCAGUAAAUGAAGGAAGAAGCAUUGAGGGAAGGAGAGGAUACCACAGGACUCAAGAUUUUUUUUUUUUUUAUAACCGAAGAACCUUCCAUGGCUAAGCCCUUAGGACUCUCCAUGGGAACUCAAACCUCGGGGUGCUAACCACCCCACAACAACCAGCACCGGGUAAAUUCAGAGUAUCAUCCAUAGUAGGAUUCAAACCCAGGACCAUGUGCAACUUACUAGGACCACACUUCCCAAUGUUCGCCCUAACCAACUAGGCUAUCCUGGCAGGGACCAUAGGACUCACAUAUCUGGCUGCACAUGUUUUCAUGUAAUGUUAACUAAAAUUUUACUAAAUCUUAGACUACCUAAAAGUUGUUUUAUGAAUCCUUUGUUUUAGGUGCAACAAAUUGAACAAUUAUGGGAAGCAAAAAGCAAAAAAUACACAUCGGUAUAUUUUGGAACAGAGAAUAGUCCCUAAAGGAUAUCAGAUACAGGAUGUUUGAAGUAAAAGAUGAAUAACAUAAAAGAGACUUUCUAAUAUCUCAAUUAAGAAAAAUGCUCACAGAUUAUAGCCAUACCUUUAUCUGCUGGAGAUGAUUCAAUACAAUCUGCAGCAAAUAAUUUCAUUUGGUGAAUCCAGUAGUUGUACCAAAUAAACAAAAAGGCAAACCUGACAAUUUAGAAUCUUUCAAUACAACAUAUUUGAAGUACCUGGUUUUCAUCAUUAGUCCCAGUUGCAAGGGUUUCAAGUACUCUGAUUCUCGACUGGUAUUUCUCUUCCCGAGACUUAAAGAGAUUGUUUUGCUGCAGGCACAAACCAAUAGAAAAGAAUUGAUAUGGACUAGACAAUAAAAACCAAUAAAAGAAACAAAGUAAGUAUAUUACAGUUCUUAAGUGUUCUGCUUGAGUUGAUAUUCGCCGCUCAAUUUCCUGCACAACUUUUCUCAAUAGACAUGCCACACGCUGAGGAAAAAAAAACAAAAAAUAAAAAGCAUCCUCAGAUAAGUUUUUUAGCAUUAAAAAUGCAUUUAUAUUAUCAAUAUAUAUAUAUAUAUAUAUAUAUGCCUUAAUUUAACACCAGUUGCCCUCUCAUUGCCAUACGUGAGGUAUCUCUUCAUUCUUCCUUUCAACGCUUUCAUCUAGAAUUCCAUUCACAACACUCAAAAGUGACUGAGUUGGGGCAUUCUGCAAAAAUGAGAUGCUUGAAUGCAUUAAAGAAGCAUAAAACUGAAAAGACCACCUAAAAAAUCCUAAAUCUUGCCCAAUUAUGUCCAUUGACAACAUAAGGUGCCAUAUGACUUACAUCUAAACUGUUAGAUUUCAUCAUUUCUGUAAGCUUAGCAGCAGGAAUAUCCGCAUAGCGUCCUUGUUUCAGUUGAAACACCUCAUGGAACUUGUGUCCCACAUGAUAUAUUAAUGCAGCUGAUGGCUCUACAAAAAGGGGAAAAAGUAAGAUAACAACACUACGUCCAAAUAAAAUUAUCAUUAUUGAAGAGCAUCUGCUAGUUUUGUGUUGUUAGAAUACAAAAAAACUAUCCACUGUCUCAAUAUAGCAGAUCUCACUUCACAACUUCACUAUGGAUAAAAGCUGUUAUCAUAUAUUCAUAUGGCUGCAUUAGAACAGACAAGCACAUAGAGGAAUAGAGUACAAAAAAACCAUACCAGACUUGACAGGACUACGCAAAGCACGUUGAAAUUUGGAUUCUGAAAAACUCUUUUGCCUGUCUUCUCCACAUGGUGUAGGCCCACGCGAAGGAUCAUCCACUUGAGGACCAAUGUUUCCAGAUUUAGAAAAUGAACUACUGAAUGGAAAAUUAUUUCCACAUACAGUUGGUAUAGUGUGUGCUUUAAGUGUUAAAAUGCACUCCAAAACAGUCUUCAUAGAUCCCUGCAACAUAAAAUCAACAUUAUGAUAAAUGCCGAGAGCUCUGGUGAUGCUAAGAAAACAUAUACUCAAAUUCAUUUGAGCAAAUUAAUCAAAAAAAAAUUUGAAAUUCACUACUUCAACUUUGAGAUGUUUGCAAAUUGCUAAGAAAAUAAAUGUAAAUAAACCUACAAUGACUUCAGUGGGAGUACUACUAGUUUGUGUACAUAAUGGAUAGUAAUUCUUAUAAACAAUUGAUAGUAGGUCAUGAAAACAAUUGAUACCUUUUCCAGGUCUGCAAUUUCAAACCCGGGCAUCCCUAAUGCGUCCAAAGCCUCCAGAAACUUUUUAACAUUUUCAUAGCGCAUCCCAGAAGAAUGAUCAUAAUCACGCACCUAAAGUAAAAAAAAAAUGCACAUCAAAACAACAAUUCUAACAUCCAGAGAUGAAAUUCAACACUAACUGCAUCUAAAUGAACAAACCUCACUCACAGAACCAGGUCUCAGUCUGUUCAAAAACCGACAUAAAACAGCACCAUCAAUCAAGCAGGCCCUCAAUUCCUCUACUGAAGCUUUUACUGGCAAAUUUAAAUUAGGAAGCAUGGAAUUUAACCACUCCGCCACAAUGGCUCGCUUCUUGUCUGCAUAAAAGGGAAUGAAAUAAAUACAAAGUUCAGUAAAUUAAGAUGGGAAAAACAAAGGAAGAGAGGAGCAAAAUCACCCUUUCUUCACCUUUAUCAUCAGCAUUAUGAGUUGCCAUUGGUUCAAAAACAUCCCCAUUACCAGAUACUCUGAAACUGCCAAUUCCCCCAUAUUUCUUUGCGUUGUAAUCCAAUGUAGAGUCCAUGAUGAAAUACAAGGGAAGACAUCUAGCUUCAAAGCUCAAAACCUCAAACUACGAAAAAUAAGAAAAAAACCCCCCAGAUUGUUUCAAUAAAAUCCAAAGAAAUCAUUUGCAGGAAGAAGGGAACAAAAAGUUUAUUUAUCUCCAGACUUCCCCAGAAAUGCAACAAUCCUGAAAAGUUAUUAAAAAAAAAAUGUAAUCAUCACCACAACUUUAUUUCACAUUCCCUCAUCAACUCAAUACAUUAAACGAUGUUAUGCAUUAAACCCAUGGUUCAUGCCUGGUAAUGGCAUUAUUUUAAUUUCCAAAGGCAAGAGAAUCAAAUGCUUCUUUUGCAUGGUGAGCACGUAACACAACCCAUUACCAAACACCAACCAACCAUUAAGUCAGAGCUCAAACUCUGACUGGUAGGGAGCCCAAGCAGAAAACGGAAAUACAAAUAUAUUCACCUGCAUGGGUGGAAAAUGAGAGAGACCCAACUCAGAAAAGAUUUCAGCGAUGGCCCCUGGGCUCCUCCUCCAUCUGGUGUAGCUUCAAAAGUUUCAUUGGCAACAAGGAUUUCAAGGAAGAGAAGAGAGGAGAGAAAAUGGUGGAAACAAGAGAAGAAAAAAAGUUUGGAAAAGGCAUAAUGAAUGAAUAAAUAUUACAGAGAGAGGGAAGAA